CCUACGGGUGGCAGCAGUGAGGAAUAUUGGUCAAUGGCCGGAAGGCUGAACCAGCCAUGCCGCGUGAAGGUCAGUGCCCUAUGGGCGUUAAACUUCUUUUGUGCGGGAGCAAUACUGGUCACGUGUGGCCAGACGAGAGUACCGUACGAAUAAGCAUCGGCUAACUCCGUGCCAGCAGCCGCGGUAACACGGGGGAUGCAAGCGUUAUCCGGAUUUAUUGGGUUUAAAGGGUGCGUAGGCUGGGAGGUAAGUCAGCGGUGGAAAGCCCCCGCUCAACGGGGUGAAGUGCCAUUGAUACUGCCUGGCUGGAAUGCGGAUGCCGUGGGAGGAAUGUGUGGUGUAGCGGUGAAAUGCAUAGAUAUCACACAGAACACCGAUUGCGAAGGCAUCUCACGAAGCCGCGAUUGACGCUGAUGCACGAAAGCGUGGGUAUCAAACAGGAUUAGAUACCCUAGUAGUC
rnacentral:rRNA from 1 species